ACUCUAAGCGGUGGAUCACUCGGCUCAUGGGUCGAUGAAGAACGCAGCAAACUGUGCGUCAUCGUGUGAACUGCAGGACACAUGAACAUCGACAUUUUGAACGCAUAUCGCAGUCCAUGCUGUUAUGUACUUUAAUUAAUUUUAUAGUGCUGCUUGGACUACAUAUGGUUGAGGGUUGUAAGACUAUGCUAAUUAAGUUGCUUAUAAAUUUUUAUAAGCAUAUGGUAUAUUAUUGGAUAAAUAUAAUAAUUUUUAUUCAUAAUAUUAAAAAAUAAAUGAAAAACAUUAUCUCACAUUUGAAUGUGAAAAACGAAGAGAAAUAUUUUCUUUUUCAAUCAAAUAAUACUGAGAAAUGUCUAGCAUAAAAAAUUGAAAUAUUUUUCAUCUAGAAUUGUCUCUUAUUAAUGAUUCGGAAAUAGAAAAAUCUUGGUUAUGUUAUUAUUCUUCGUUGGUUCGUUAAAAAUGGAUAAAUAAAAACUUUGCAUACAAGAAUUAAUAAAAAUGUUAUAACGAAUUUAAUUAAAUGUUUUAUCAUUAUAUAUAAAGAAUUUAUGGCAAGAUAAAGUUAUAUACAACCUCAACUCAUAUGGGACUACCCCCUGAAUUUAAGCAUAUUAAUUAGGGGAGGAAAAGAAACUAACAAGGAUUUUCUUAGUAGCGGCGAGCGAAAAGAAAACAGUUCAGCACUAAGUCACUUUGUCUAUAUGGCAAAUGUGAGAUGCAGUGUAUGGAGCGUCAAUAUUCUAGUAUGAGAAAUUAACGAUUUAAGUCCUUCUUAAAUGAGGCCAUUUACCCAUAGAGGGUGCCAGGCCCGUAUAACGUUAAUGAUUACUAGAUGAUGUUUCCAAAGAGUCGUGUUGCUUGAUAGUGCAGCACUAAGUGGGUGGUAAACUCCAUCUAAAACUAAAUAUAACCAUGAGACCGAUAGUAAACAAGUACCGUGAGGGAAAGUUGAAAAGAACUCUGAAUAGAGAGUUAAACAGUACGUGAAACUGCUUAGAGGUUAAGCCCGAUGAACCUGAAUAUCCGUUAUGGAAAAUUCAUCAUUAAAAUUGUAAUAUUUAAAUAAUAUUAUGAGAAUAGUGUGCAUUUUUUCCAUAUAAGGACAUUGUAAUCUAUUAGCAUAUACCAAAUUUAUCAUAAAAUAUAACUUAUAGUUUAUUCCAAUUAAAUUGCUUGCAUUUUAACACAGAAUAAAUGUUAUUAAUUUGAUAAAGUGCUGAUAGAUUUAUAUGAUUACAGUGCGUUAAUUUUUCGGAAUUAUAUAAUGGCAUAAUUAUCAUUGAUUUUUGUGUUUAUUAUAUGCACUUGUAUGAUUAACAAUGCGAAAGAUUCAGGAUACCUUCGGGACCCGUCUUGAAACACGGACCAAGGAGUCUAACAUAUGUGCAAGUUAUUGGGAUAUAAACCUAAUAGCGUAAUUAACUUGACUAAUAAUGGGAUUAGUUUUUUAGCUAUUUAUAGCUAAUUAACACAAUCCCGGGGCGUUCUAUAUAGUUAUGUAUAAUGUAUAUUUAUAUUAUUUAUGCCUCUAACUGGAACGUACCUUGAGCAUAUAUGCUGUGACCCGAAAGAUGGUGAACUAUACUUGAUCAGGUUGAAGUCAGGGGAAACCCUGAUGGAAGACCGAAACAGUUCUGACGUGCAAAUCGAUUGUCAGAAUUGAGUAUAGGGGCGAAAGACCAAUCGAACCAUCUAGUAGCUGGUUCCUUCCGAAGUUUCCCUCAGGAUAGCUGGUGCAUUUUAAUAUUAUAUAAAAUAAUCUUAUCUGGUAAAGCGAAUGAUUAGAGGCCUUAGGGUCGAAACGAUCUUAACCUAUUCUCAAACUUUAAAUGGGUAAGAACCUUAACUUUCUUGAUAUGAAGUUCAAGGUUAUGAUAUAAUGUGCCCAGUGGGCCACUUUUGGUAAGCAGAACUGGCGCUGUGGGAUGAACCAAACGUAAUGUUACGGUGCCCAAAUUAACAACUCAUGCAGAUACCAUGAAAGGCGUUGGUUGCUUAAAACAGCAGGACGGUGAUCAUGGAAGUCGAAAUCCGCUAAGGAGUGUGUAACAACUCACCUGCCGAAGCAACUAGCCCUUAAAAUGGAUGGCGCUUAAGUUGUAUACCUAUACAUUACCGCUAAAGUAGAUGAUUUAUAUUACUUGUGAUAUAAAUUUUGAAACUUUAGUGAGUAGGAAGGUACAAUGGUAUGCGUAGAAGUGUUUGGCGUAAGCCUGCAUGGAGCUGCCAUUGGUACAGAUCUUGGUGGUAGUAGCAAAUAAUCGAAUGAGACCUUGGAGGACUGAAGUGGAGAAGGGUUUCGUGUGAACAGUGGUUGAUCACGAGUUAGUCGGUCCUAAGUUCAAGGCGAAAGCCGAAAAUUUUCAAGUAAAACAAAAAUGCCUAACUAUAUAAACAAAGCGAAUUAUAAUACACUUGAAUAAUUUUGAACGAAAGGGAAUACGGUUCCAAUUCCGUAACCUGUUGAGUAUCCGUUUGUUAUUAAAUAUGGGCCUCGUGCUCAUCCUGGCAACAGGAACGACCAUAAAGAAGCCGUCGAGAGAUAUCGGAAGAGUUUUCUUUUCUGUUUUAUAGCCGUACUACCAUGGAAGUCUUUCGCAGAGAGAUAUGGUAGAUGGGCUAGAAGAGCAUGACAUAUACUGUUGUGUCGAUAUUUUCUCCUCGGACCUUGAAAAUUUAUGGUGGGGACACGCAAACUUCUCAACAGGCCGUACCAAUAUCCGCAGCUGGUCUCCAAGGUGAAGAGUCUCUAGUCGAUAGAAUAAUGUAGGUAAGGGAAGUCGGCAAAUUAGAUCCGUAACUUCGGGAUAAGGAUUGGCUCUGAAGAUUGAGAUAGUCGGGCUUGAUUGGGAAACAAUAACAUGGUUUAUGUGCUCGUUCUGGGUAAAUAGAGUUUCUAGCAUUUAUGUUAGUUACUUGUUCCCCGGAUAGUUUAGUUACGUAGCCAAUUGUGGAACUUUCUUGCUAAAAUUUUUAAGAAUACUAUUUGGGUUAAACCAAUUAGUUCUUAUUAAUUAUAACGAUUAUCAAUUAACAAUCAAUUCAGAACUGGCACGGACUUGGGGAAUCCGACUGUCUAAUUAAAACAAAGCAUUGUGAUGGCCCUAGCGGGUGUUGACACAAUGUGAUUUCUGCCCAGUGCUCUGAAUGUCAAAGUGAAGAAAUUCAAGUAAGCGCGGGUCAACGGCGGGAGUAACUAUGACUCUCUUAAGGAUCAUUAUUGAGCAGGGGAUAUUUUCUGUAUUGUAAUCAUAUCAUUAUUGUCUUCUCUCUUUACUCAAGUCGACUCAAACUCCUCGUGGUGGUCCCGUAAUGCUAAACUCGUUUAGCAGCUAAUUGAGCGGCAAACUUUUCCGAUGGCUGGUUCCCAGAGGAAUUAUUCAUAUUGG
rnacentral:rRNA from 1 species